AGCCAAUCACAGUCCACGACGCAGCACCGAUUGAAACGGGGAAACACAAAACACGGGGGCGAGACAAAACGGAACCAAACGCGCAAAGGCGCGCAGAGCGCACAGUAAAAGCAAACUAAACAACAUAACUGGGAUCGUAACAGUUUACCAGCCAGCACACUCUUUCUGGAAUCAAAAUUGAACGUGUGCGCUGAUGAUAUGAUUCACUGCUGGAUGUAGCUCUUGUUCUAAGGCUGUUAGCGUUGUUUGCUACAUGUGCUGAAGGAUGAAGACAUGGACAUGGUCUAAAGGCCGUUGAGGCAUUCCAUGGCUCGGUGCCACGUGUGCUGGAACCGUAACGGAGGCGACUGGGAGGGCUACCUCCAGCUCCACGAGGCCUCCAGGGAUAAAGUCUCGCCGGCCGUCCACGUAGUAAGACAGAAUGCCGUAAACCCGAAAGGAUGACAAAUGAGACAACAUAGGCAGGGAUUUAUGGAGUGUUAAAAAGCUCCCCAUCAGACUGUUUCCACACGCACCAAAUCAUCAUGCCGGAUGAAGAGAUGAAAAAUAGCAGGUUGCUCUCAAAGGAAAAAGAAAAGAAAAGCCAGACCAGAGUGGGUGACAGGAAGCUGCGUUCGCUCAGCUUUAGAAGCACAGCCUUCCACUCAUCCAUUUGCACCUAUUAUUGAUGUCAAAAGUGCUUCCACGGGUGCGUCUACAGUUACCUCAGCCAUAAAGGAGCAGCCACUGAAGGCAUGGAAAGUCCAGCCAAGGCAUCUUUUCAGCAGUCCAGAUGGAGAUGGG
rnacentral:lncRNA from 1 species